rnacentral:lncRNA from 1 species
UGUUCUUUUGCCUCCCCAUUGUGCUGGCUGUCCCUGGUGACAGACUGCAGCCCAGCCAUAGCCUGGGGGAGGGAGUGGGUUGCAGCAGAUGUGCACAUCUGGAUCACCUGCCCCUAACCCAGCACACUCCAACUUCUCCAUGGCUUUGGCUUCCACAGGACAUUUCUCGGGGUGGCCUCCUCUCUGAGGGCAAUGGAAGGCUCCAGAAGGUUUUAAGGAGUGGAAUGAUAUGACUCGAUUUAUAGUUUAAGAUUCCUAUUGCUGCUGUGUGGAGAACAUAUUGGAGGAUGAGGAAUGUGGAAGCCCCAAAACCAGUUAGGACCUACUGUAGUAGUUCAGGGACAUGGAUGGAGCUGGAGGCCAUUAUCCCUUGCAAACUAACACAGGAACAGAAAACCAAAUACUGCCUGUUCUCACUUAUAAGUGAUAGCUAAAUGAUAAGAAUAUAUGGAAACAUAGAGGAGAACAAUACACACUGGGGCCUAUCGGAAGGUGGAGGGUGGGAGGAGGGAGAGAAUUUAAAAAAAAUAAUGAAUGAACACUAGGCUUAAUACCUGGGUGAUGAAAUAAUCUGUACAAUAAGCCCCCAAGACAUAAUUUUACCUACAUAACAAACCUGUACACAUACCCCUGAACUUAAAAUAAAAGUUUAAAACAAUUUUUUUAAAAAUUAGGUCUCCAUUCCUAAGCCUUGUAAUGAGUUUUAUGAGUUUCUUCCAACAACAACAAAAAAAGUGAAUUGUACAUCAUAGAUGCAUCAGGUAGCCAGGCCAGGUUCCACUCCCUCAUGUGAGACUUCUUUUGGCAUACCAUCCUGGGUCAGCCAAUUGAGUUCCCAGUGAGUCACAAUCUUCUAG